CCUACGGGUGGCAGCAGUGGGGAAUAUUGCACAAUGGGCGAAAGCCUGAUGCAGCAACGCCGCGUGAGCGAUGAAGGCCUUCGGGUCGUUAAGCUCUGUCCUCAAGGAAGCUAAUGACGGUACUUGAGGAGGAAGCCCCGGCUAACUACGUGCCAGCAGCCGCGGUAAUACGUAGGGGGCUAGCGUUAUACGGAAUUACUGGGCGUAAAGGGUGCGUAGGUGGUUUCUUAAGUCAGAGGUGAAAGGCUAGGGCUCAACCGUAGUAAGCCUUUGAAACUGGGGAACUUGAGUGCAGGAGAGGAGAGUGGAAUGCGUAGUGUAGCGGUGAAAUGCGUAGAUAUUAGGCGGAACACCAGUGGCGAAGGCGGCUUACUGGCCUGUAACUGACGUUGAGGCUCGAAAGCGUGGGGAGCAAACAGGAUUAGAUACCCGGGUAGUC
rnacentral:rRNA from 1 species